AUUGAACGCUGGCGGCAGGCCUAACACAUGCAAGUCGAACGAGUGGCGGACGGGUGAGUAAUGUCUGGGAAACUGCCUGCUGGAGGGGGAUAACUACUGGAAACGGUAGCUAAUACCGCAUACCAUCGGAUGUGCCCAGAUGGGAUUAGCUAGGAGGUGGGGUAAAGGCUCACCUAGGCAACGAUCCCUAGAUGGUCUGAGAGGAUGACCAGCGACAAUGGAACUGAGACACGGUCCAGACUCCUACGGGAGGCAGCAGUGGGGAAUAUUGCACAAUGGGCGCAAGCCUGAUGCAACCAUGCCGAGUGUAUGAAGAAGGCCUUCGGGUUGGAAAGUACUUUCAGCGGGGAGGCGGUACCCGCAGGAGAAGCACCGGCUAACUCCGUUCCAGCAGCCGCGGUAAUAC
rnacentral:rRNA from 1 species